UUUCCGUAGGUGAACCUGCGGAAGGAUCAUUAUUGUAUAACCGAGGUGCGAGGGCUGUCGCUGACCCGAAAGGUCGUGCACGCCCGAGUGCCCUCACACACAUCCAUCUCACCCCUAUGUGCACCACCGCGUGGGUCCCCCUUUGGCUUGUUCGGAGGGGGGCUUACGUUUUCACACAAACUUUGUAUGCAGUGUAGAAUGUACUUUUUGUUUUUGCGAUCACGCAAUCAAUACAACUUUCAACAACGGAUCUCUUGGCUCUCGCAUCGAAGAAGAACGCAGC
rnacentral:misc_RNA from 1 species